AGUGAGCGCUGGCGGUAGGCCUAACACAUGCAAGUCGAACGGCAGCACAGUAAGAGCUUGCUCUUACGGGUGGCGAGUGGCGGACGGGUGAGGAAUACAUCGGAAUCUACUUUUUCGUGGGGGAUAACGUAGGGAAACUUACGCUAAUACCGCAUACGACCUACGGGUGAAAGCAGGGGAUCUUCGGACCUUGCGCGAUUGAAUGAGCCGAUGUCGGAUUAGCUAGUUGGCGGGGUAAAGGCCCACCAAGGCGACGAUCCGUAGCUGGUCUGAGAGGAUGAUCAGCCACACUGGAGCUGAGACACGGUCCAGACUCCUACGGGAGGCAGCAGUGGGGAAUAUUGGACAAUGGGCGCAAGCCUGAUCCAGCCAUACCGCGUGGGUGAAGAAGGCCUUCGGGUUGUAAAGCCCUUUUGUUGGGAAAGAAAAGCAGCAGGUUAAUACCCCGCUGUUCUGACGGUACCCAAAGAAUAAGCACCGGCUAACUUCGUG
rnacentral:rRNA from 1 species